UACGAAGGGGGCUAGCGUUGUUCGGAAUUACUGGGCGUAAAGCGCACGUAGGCGGAUUGUUAAGUCAGAGGUGAAAUCCCGGGGCUCAACCUCGGAAUGGCAUUCAAUACUGCUUCGCUAGAGUACUGGAGAGGAGGCUGGAAUUUACGGUGUAGCAGUGAAAUGCGUAGAUAUCGUAAGGAAGGCCGGUGGCGAAAGCGAGCCUCUGGACAGUUACUGACGCUGAUGCACGAAGGCCAGGGGAGCAAACAGG
rnacentral:rRNA from 1 species